CCACUUUGGAGGGAAGCAGGUGUUCCUCUGUGGCUUUCCAUCCGUCAGGUUUGCUCUUGACCGGACAGGUGAUGCUGCCCGUCCCGUUCAGAUCCAGCUCACACUGCACAGAUUUAAGUGGAGAGCUUCUGAAUGAACUCCAAUGAGAUCUGUGUUGUUGUAGCUUCUGGAGGACAGCACUAGAGGGCGCUGCUGAAGAGAUGCCGUGCCGAUAUUCAGUAUAACAGCACUCCUCCUCGUGCAAUAUCGCUUAAACGAGACGUUUCGUGUCGAUGACAACCUGUAAAAAUGUUGAAAAUGUGAUGUUGUCUCCUUCAUCCUCCCUCUCUGCAUCAUCUUCCUCUCUGUGACCCUCUGACACACACACACAUACACAAACACACACAUAUACACACAGAGGCGGUGGCUGCAUUUUUUGAAGGGUGGCUUUGUAAAUGGGUAGAGAGAUAAACGCUGAGUUGUUUUGGACACCAAAACACACACACACACACACACACACCAUGAGGGAGAUGAAGGCAGUGUUGUUUCACACACUCAGUCUUUUAUGCAGCUCAGUAAGAGGACUGAGACGCUAUAGACACACAAACUAGGCUCCAACUCAUCUGAGUUUGUGGGUUGAGGCUGCUGCUGUUAUUGUUGAUAUAUUAAAAAUGUCCCAAAAUUCAGCCUUUUACACACACAUAAUUAAUUUUUAGAGUGUUUUGCCUUCAAAAGGGGUCAGUAAAAUGUAUUAGCUGAGGACGAAAAAGAACAUUUAACU